rnacentral:rRNA from 1 species
CUCCUUUGACGUUAGCGGCGGACGGGUGAGUAACACGUGGGUAACCUACCUAUAAGACUGGGAUAACUUCGGGAAACCGGAGCUAAUACCGGAUAAUAUUUCGAACCACAUGGUUCGAUAGUGAAAGGUGGUUUUGCUAUCACUUAUAGAUGGACCCGCGCCGUAUUAGCUAGUUGGUAAGGUAACGGCUUACCAAGGCGACGAUACGUAGCCGACCUGAGAGGGUGAUCGGCCACACUGGAACUGAGACACGGUCCAGACUCCUACGGGAGGCAGCAGGU